UCAAUCCUAUCUUCUUCUCCCCUUGCUCCACCGCUCAGAGCACACUUCUCUGUCUCCGCCACGCAAUACAGAGAGGAGUGGCCUUCGCCGGCGACGAGGCUCCUCCCUGACCAGAUCCCGCCACAGUCGCGGCGGCAGGGGUCGAGGACGACGACCACGAGGGAUCCGCGGAGGGGGCCAGGGAUUUGGCGUUCGCUACAGCCGAGCACCAGGUACUGCGGCGCUACGACUCAGCUCCUCGCCGACCGGAGCGAGGUGCCGUCGCGGUCCGAUGCCGAGCGCCGCCGCGAGCACCAGGCCGCCGCGCUCGGGGCGACGCUGCCCGCACCAUCCCUGCGAUGCGCCCACCUCCAACCCGGCGGCGAUGGCGAUGUCCGCGAGGCCCGGGCGCGAGGGAGGCGAUGGCGACCAGCUGAAGCGGCGGCGCCGUCAUCCUACACCGGGAGGCGGGGCCUAGUGGCGCACGAGGCUGCGGGACGCGGAAGGGGGAGAAGCAAGGGAGGUACUGUUCGAGGAGGCAGGGCGCGGAGGGAGAGAGCAGUGGAGGUGCUGACGCUGACGCCGCGGCGCUUCAUGGAGGUCAACUAGGAGGUGGACGAGGCCUUGCAGCUCGCAGCCGACCUGCUCGUCGAUGCGCCAAUAGGGAUCUGCUCGCCGGCGGGGACGCCGUUUUCUUCUAGUGAUGUGCGGAUGGUGAACUGCUCGCCAGGAUUCACCCCGAGCCCAGGGAGUGGGAGUAUCGGGGAUAGGAUAUGUGCAUCGAGCAGAGGGGGCUGGUGUUCACUUCAGGUUUCUUGCCUCAGUCAGAUCAAUUCUGGAGUCCUUGAUCUCCUCGUCCUUCAUCAACAGCUGAAGCUGGUGGACAGAAGAAGAAAGGGUGAGGUGUUCUAAAAGGUUUUAAAGCAUCUAAGAAGCGUUUUGCCAAUGGAUCUGCAAAGCCAAAUAUUACAUUCUCUGAAAAAUUGGGUGGUACAAUAGAAAUGAACUAUCGUUCGUUCAAGAAUGACGUGGUAGUCAUAAUGAAAAGAAAGUUACCACUCAUUGGAAUGAGGAUGUGGUCGGACAUUCACCCUACCAUUCAUCGACUCAUUCUUGCAGAUAUGAUAGACAGAUGGGACCUGGAAGAUACACCAGAAACACAAGAAAAAGUUUUCAAAAUUGCGAAAGAGAGAUAUAGAGGCUGGCGAUCAACUCUAAGCUCCACUUACAAGGCAUACAAAACAGAUGUAGCUAGAUUGGCUAAUCUGCCAGAAGAUUUACAACCAGAAGAGUGGGAAUGGAUGAUUGAGUACUUUGGCACUGAUUCAAAAUUUCAGGAACGCAGCCAAAAGAAUGCUGAUAACCGUAAGAAACAGAAGACAAAAUACAUAAUCGGAUCAAAAUCUUACUCACAAGUUAGUUUUGAGAAGAGAAACUUGGAAACUGGAGAAGAGCCAGAUUGUAUUGCUCUAUGGGAACUCACCCACACAAACGAUGAAACAUGGUCUAACACAGAUUCCUAAAAAGUUUACGACCAAGCACUUCAAGAUGUUAAAAACAAAGAAGCUGAAACUGAAGGUCCACUUUCAAAUGAGCAAAAAAACAAUGUUUUUCAAACCGCUUACAAAAACACUCUGGAAUGCAAGUCAUGGCAGCCUCGUGGGUACGGAUACAUGGCCAAAACUUCAACUGGUUCUGAAAAGUUCCGUAUCCAGAUUGAAGAGCAAGCUCGUGCUACAGCAGCCACCCAGGAGCGAAACUCUCAGCUCAGCCAGCAGGUCAAUGACUUAGAAGAUCAACUACAAGAUGAACGUGCUAACACACAAGAGAGGAUUAACUUGGAGCGUGCUGAGAGAGAACAACUUGAGGACCGGAUCCAAAGAACUAGCUGGACUGGACUCUAGAUCACAGGCAGUUUAGUCUUCGAAGUUAAUUAGGAUGGCUAAAUUACAAUAUUUUCUAUCAGAAUUAUGAAUUGUAUGAAUCUACAUAUUACACAUAUGGUUUUGAAUAUUGUAAUUGAAACCCUGU